rnacentral:rRNA from 1 species
CUCAGUUCGGAUUGGAGUCUGCAACCCGACUCCAUGAAGCUGGAUUCGCUAGUAAUCGCGCAUCAGCCACGGCGCGGUGAAUACGUUCCCGGGCCUUGUACACGCCGCCCGUCAAGCCAUGGAAGCCGGGAGUGCCUGAAGUGCGUGAGCGCAAGCAGCGCCCUAAGGUAAAACCGGUGACUGGGGCUAAGUCGUAACAAGGUAAC